rnacentral:lncRNA from 1 species
AUUCAAGUUUUCAACUUCCUGGUUUUCGUAUGCCUGCAAUGCUCAAGGAUGAAGAAGUAAGCGAUUCUGAUGGUGAGAGUUUUGAGGCUGUCACUCCAGAACACCCUGCUGGAAAACCCAACGGAGAGGAGGCCAACCUGGCUAUUGAGAAGCGCAAACAUAUCCUGGAAGAUGUUGAUGGUGAACUUGAAAUGGAAGAUGUGUCUCCAGUGUGUGAAGGUGAAACUGCUUCUGCCAGUUACAGUGUCGGAACAAAUCCUGCUCAGAUUUCACUGAUUCUGACGGUGAGAGUUUUGAGGCUGUCACUCCAGAACACCCGGCUGGAAAACCCAACGGAGAGGAGGCCAACCUGGCUAUUGAGAAGCGCAAACAUAUCCUGGAAGAUGUUGAUGGUGAACUUGAAAUGGAAGAUGUGUCUCCAGUGUGUGAAGGUGAAACUGCUUCUGCCAGUUACAGUGUCGGAACAAAUCCUGCUCAGAUUUCACGUCCUGAUGAUGGGAGCUGUCUUGGAGCCCCCUUCUAUC